rnacentral:lncRNA from 1 species
CCACUUCUACAUCAUACAAACAAGUCGAGAACUGUCCUCCAGUCUGAACAUAAUGCUUUUCAUAGAUUGUCAUGGCUUGUGUAGCUUGAAACCAAACACUCUCUGGACAUAGCUCUGAUUUGAUUUUUGUGGCUUGAGGUGCCCGUAGGUCAUCAGAAACAGAUGAGGAAACGUGGUUCCAAAGUAUGCCCCAUCAAUAUCUUGAGAAAUGUCAAGGAAAUCACGAUAAUAUAAUUAGGAAUUCGUCAUGACCUUGUGACAAUAAAGGGUGCUAGAGAAUGCUACACCAAAUACAUAACCAAAAUGACAAUGCAGAACAGAUUAUAGUAACAAAACAUCAACUUAACGAUUAAAAAGGAUGCAGGACCAUAUGCAUAUGUUGACUUGCAACAAUAUUUGUAUGAAGGACCAUAUGCAUAUGUUGACAUGCAACAAUAUUUGUAUGAAGCACCGUAUGCAACAAAGUUUGUAAGGAAAAUUCAUAAAACAAAAAACACAAAUGGCAUGACAUCACACAGUUAAAAUUAGCUUCAUCAUAUAUGACUCAGGUAAUUAAAAAUCCAAGCUAUAAUAUUACUCACUAUAUUCUACACCAAAACUCAUUCCACUAGUAUAUUAGCACACUUGCGAAAUCUAAAAAGGUUCGUAAAACCAAUUUAAGUUCAAACCAACCACAAUUAAAGCUAUGCUCCAAUUUCAAUGAAGCAUAUUAAUAUUUAGGAAUUUGCAAAUUAGUAACAACUCAUAUUGAACAUAUUGUGUGAAUCCAUAAAGAGUUCAAACUUUAUUAAAGGGAUAAAGAUAGUGCAAAGGAUACUGCCUUGGUAUUUGGAUCGAGGGUAGUAGAUAUCUUCACAUUUCGGACAGUAUAUUUUUACAGUACUUGAUCUCGGUAUGUCGGAUUGGCCAACUGGAAGGCAGGGUUGUCCGCAGCAAUAAACUCUUGGGCACCUCCCAAAGUCAUAGUUCUUGUACUUCUCUAACUGUAAUUUUUAAGGAACAAUCAUAGGAAAAAAACAGAACACUCAAAGCAAACAUAAAACACCGAAUAAAAUGAUGAGACGAACUAGAUUAUACACUCACCAUUGCAGCCAUUCCUUUGCUGGUCAGUAUGUACCGGACAUGUAUCAGACCAUAUAACAUUUCUGCCGCUGAUUCAAUCAAUUCAUUUUGUUCUUCAGUGAACAUAUCUCCUACCAAUAAAGAAUGCAAAAAAAUAAAUAAAAAAUAAUCAAUUGUCAGAGUGAGAUGGGUAAACAGGGAAGAACUUAAUUAUACACAGGCCAACAUGUAAACACACAUAUAAUGUAAAGAUAUAUAUGAACAGAGAGAUGCACAUCCUACAGAUAAAGUAAAUGCAAUCCAACAAAAUUGUUGAUGUUUAAUAGAUAGAAGUUUUCUUGCAUAACGAGAAAAUAAACUCGCCUAAAUCAGACCGGAGUUGCCCUCCAGAUCCUAGUUGAGUAGAAAGCACCAAAUCUCAUUAUCCUAUCAUUUUCUUAGUUCCAUCUAGUACAACGUGACGAUAAAUGUACAGAAACAGCUACCGACUCAAUCCAGGUAACUGGUCAUUACCAACAAGCUAAGCUGUACAAUUUGUCAUUUUAGCUUUUUUUCAUCCUAUGCAGCUCCUAUUCAUAUUAGUUCUCUUGGACCCAGAAACAAGAUAUUCUAUUUGCUUAAAUAUGGGGAAAGUAAAAAUUAAUUUUAAGGAAAACUUGUACAGAUUUAUGAUAUAGAUGUGUAAUUAUGAAUAGAAUGCAACCAAAAAUUAUCUCAAGCAGAAGUUUCUUGUAUAAACAUAAGAAGCUAGGCCAGUCCAGGUGUUGUCUAAUUUCCAUUCUGCAUUCUUAAAUUUCAUGUUAUAAACCAGAUAUCCCUCUAUGAAAAGCAAAUUCAGGCCAACACGCUAUAAUAUCAUAUACGAACGCACGCCUCACGGUACUAUUAAAAAAAGAAGUACCAUGAGAAGACUCAACAUCCAAUAUCAGAUCAAGUGCAUAAUCAUAGUAUGGAACUUGGCUGCUUAAACCGCAGAGAUUGAAAUCGUCUUGAAUAUAAUCAUCAUCAACUUCACAAAAAAAUUCGUUUCCUCUCAAAUUGCAAAACCAUGAAAUCCACGAUGUGUCCUCCCCGUCAGACCCACUGACAUCAGACUCAUCACUAUCUGACUCAGAUUCUUCUGCAAUAUUACAAAGUCAAGCAUAAAAAUCAAGAUCCAAUGUGAUUGCUAAGUGUAUAGUAGAUGAAUGCAUGAUUCAUACUAAGAAAUAAAAAGCAGGUUAAUAUCAUGUUUGACAGUAAUUUAUGUUUAACAGAUUUUAAGAUUUAACAAGAGAAAUACUUUAUGUGCUUUUACUUGUAUACUAAACAUUAAUGAAUUGUAAGAAAAUACAUAGUACAACUAACUUCAAACUACUGAAUCACAUCUAAAACUAAAAUGAAGACUUUGGGUUUCAAAUAAGAACCAAUUUACCAGAUAACUCAUUGAGCAUAUACACAAAUGCACCUAAACAAAUGCCUUGUUCAAUUAUGUACAUAUAUAAAUAAGUUUACAUUAGAUAUACAUCUAAUGUAAAUCCAAGAUUUCUACGGUUCUCACUCGUCUUGCUCUUAGGGGUCGUUUGGUUCCACUCGGGGAAACAGAAUGAAAUUCAAAAAGGAAAAUGAAAAGAGAUGAAAGGAAUGAUGCUGAAUUGCAUUACUUAUUUGUUUUUAUAGGUUACGAAAUGAAAAAAUAUAUGAUUAUUUCCAUAUCUAAUUCUUCAGAUAUUAUAUAGUUUCAAUAGAAUUAAAUUAAAUAUAAUUAUGUUUAUAAUAAUAUAAUUUUUUUUGUAUAUUUAUAAAUUAAUAUAUGUUAUUAUUUAAAAGUGUCAUUAAUUUCUUAUAAACUUGACUUUAAAUUAUAUCAAAAUCAUUUUUAAUUUAUAAAAUUAAAUUAAUUUUUUUAAUGAAUUCUAAAAUAACUUAUAAAUGAAAAUGAAAAAAAGAAUCAAAAAAAAGAGAAAACAAAUAUCUAGUGGGGGAUGAUGAAUGUAUUAUAAGGAAUGUUGGGUAAACCUAAAACCAAAAAGAGGGAAAAACAAUGACAAUAUUCAUGAAACAAACACCAACAAAGUGAAUGAGGAUAAUUGUUUCUCUAUCCCUUUAAUGGUUACCCCAACCAAACGACCCCUUAAUAUAAAUCAUGUGAAAGUAAAAUACAACAAAUAAUAUAUAGCUACCAAGUCAGUCAAGAUAAAAUUUAAAGUAAAACUUAUCACAAGCAUUGUUAGUGCACUUAAAAUACAAAACUAGAAGGUAGAUGUCGCCUCAUGCCCUAUAAUGUUACUCUGUUACCUGAACUCUCCAUUUCUUUAUCUUCAUUUUGACUCCAAUGAACAUGACAUACAUUGGUGUGGGUAUGGGAUCUUAAUCAGAUCAUUCUUACUAAAACCGAACACUUCAUCAUAUAGCAAAUCAAGUGUAAACGAAAAUUAAGAUCUUACUAAAACUUAUUUGUAGAUAGCAAGGUUCGACUUGUUUCAAAGCUAUUCAAUUAAUAUUAUGCUACAAGUUAACAUACAUAAUUAAGAGUAUGUGAUUUGUGUGGUAGAUACUAGUUUUAUAAAUGUACACUGGACUCGUCUACAUAAAGUUUACUUGCAUUAAAAUUAUGGCGCCCGUCUAGAAUUUCGGAACCAUAUCCAAGAUUUCAAAUAAUAGACCUAAAUGUUGGAAAUAAAAAGGAAUGAAGGAUCUUUUCUUUCUGAAAGUUCAUUUUCUAAUACAUACCAAUUUUGCAAUGCCAGAGUAACCUAGCCAGUAUCGUAACCUUGCCACUUUGAGAGAGACAAGGACUUGAACCUUCUUCAAGAAUAUUAGAGCUAGUAAUAGAGACAUAUCUCGAUCUUUUGCUCCUUGACAUAGGCAUGGCACAAUCAAAUUGUCUUAUUUAGUUUUAGGAAUCCUUUUUUGGAGUUAAACUAAGGAUUCCAGAUUUAUUGCCUUCAAGGAUUAUUCUAAUUAUUACUAUACUGUUUUCUUCUUCAACUUAGGUUGAGGAUUUUGGCAUAUUUAUUGCUAUGAUUAGGAAAAUACUGUAAUGGAUCUUUCAUUAUAAUCUCAUUAAUACAAUGUGAGAUCUAUGGUUCUCAAAAUUCUUCUUCUAAUAAAAUCUACUACCAAACAAACAAUUCAAUUCUCCUCUUGUUUAGACCGUUCAGUAAACCAUGUACAUUAUCUUCCUUGAAGACGAAAUAAGUGAUGCCUCCUAAUCACAUAUGAGACGAGAUUUAAUAAUCCUAUCCAUUACUCUGAGCCAACUUCUCAUUGAAACAACAUUCCAAAAGUGUAAAAAACUAAAAGUCCCAAGUAUUCUGACAGAUAAAUUUGUUCAAUACGGAUUAUUAUCCCCACUCCACUAUCCAAAUACGAACUAAAAAAAUAAAAACUAAAAUGUAAAAUCCUAAUUAAGCCACAAUCACAACCAAUACUCAAUCCAAACCAAAAUGCAACGAUAAACAAUCACACAAUAUCAAGAUAUAAUUCAUUGACACAAAUAAGAAAAAAAUUAAAAUACCAACCAUCGGCGCAAUUAUUCUUCAAAUUGAGAUUCACCGAAGCUCGAUUAUCGUACUGUGACUUGCUACUUCCAGCAGCCGAAGUAUACGGAAUCGAAAGGCGCUCCUUCUCCUUGAGAUUCAAAAGCCUAGAAUUCGCCGACGCCUUCUCCAAAUGCUUAUCUAAUGCAUCGUUGAUUCACUUCCGAUCUAACGCUCCACCAACCACCUCCGACUUUGAAGAUCCACCGCCUCGAUCUCUAAUCAUAUUAGCCACAAACUAUAUAUAUACAAGACUCUAAUUAUAUGUAUUUUCAGUGCUUAAAGAGAUCUAAGGCCAUUUUAUCGAUCAUUUUGUGUGUAGAAUCAAGUAAAAUUCACUCGAUUUGAUAAAUAUGAAGACUUUUUAAAAGAUUGAAAUGGAUGAACGACGAAUUGCACGGAAACCGAGGACCUGUAUAGAGAGACGGAGAAAACUAGGGUUUCGUACAGCGAGAGAGACGACGAGAGAGAUUCCCAGGCUUAUUCAGCCUUCAGGUACCAAAAUAUAAUAUAAACAUUUUUUUCUGAAAUAAUAAUAUAAACAUUAUAUUUAAUAUUAUCAAUGUUAUAUAUAUGAAUUAAUUAAACCAAUAAGAUCAUGACGCUUAUUCAAAUUUAAAAUACAAAUAAUAUAUCUUAUUAAAUUUUUAUAUAAUAUUCAAUUUAUACAUAAAUAUAUGAUAUUUUUUUAUUACAUAUUAAAAUAUAUGUAUAUAUAUAUAUAUAUAUAUAUAUAUAUAUAUAUGUAAUAAUAUAUUAUGUAUUAUAAUUUUAAUAUGUUGCGAUUUAUACAUUAUUUAACAUUUAUAAAGUUUUUUUAUUAAUAAAUUAAUCCAAAAUAUGCCAUGUUGAAUGCAUAAUAUUAAAUAUUAUAAUAUAUUAUAAGUAUAUCGAUUAAAAAUCGGUUUCCACUUAGUUGAAAAAUAAACAUGGUUAUGAGAUGUAUGUAAUUUUUUUUUAAAAUAUAUAUUAAUUAAGGUACUUUAAGUGUUAAUGAUGCAUUAUAAUCCUGCAUACUAGAAAAUAUUAACGUAAUUAAUGAUUAAUGAUUCAAAUUUUUAGGUUUUCAUUUCGUGGUCAGAAUUUAGAUUACUGGUUUUAAUUUUCGGAUAUAUCCAUACUCAAUCUUGAAAAUAAUUCGUAUUUUGAAUAUACCCAAAUUUGAUCCGAACAUGUCGGAUUGAGUUCGGAUUUUACUUUUAAGUUCGGAUCAGGUUUUGGUAUAGAUAAAAAAUUCAGAGUUUAGAAUUGGAUAUGGAUAAUGUCAUAUCGGAUCCGAUCCAAUUGUCAUUCUCAAGAGAGAAUGCUCAUCCCUCAUUUAUUUUUCCUUUAUUUUAGUAUCUUUCUCUUCCUUUCUCUAUUUUCAAAUCCAUUUCGAGGAGUUUCAGUUCUUCUGUAAAAGUCUUUUAUGGCAAAUCUCUUAGAAAAGCAUACCAGUUUAAAUUAUUUUUUUUUUGUUAGUUUGAUUCAAAAAUUUGAUGAUUCAAUUUCUGGUAGAGUGAAAUAACAUGUACAGGUUUGUACAUCAUCAUUUUCAAAUUUUGAAUAAAUUUUAUAAUUUCGAAUCAAGAGGAAAUAUUGGAAUUAUGAUUCAAAAUUGUAACUGAAAUAUCAAUUAGUUGUUUUUUUUUUUGUCAAAAGUUGAUUUUAUUUUAAUAUUGAUUGAUAAUAGAAAUAUUUAUAAUUGUUUACGUUAUAUAAGUGAUUAGUUGAUUUUAUUUUAAUAUUGAUUGAUAAUAGAAAUAUUGAUAAUUGAUUAGGUUAUAUAAGUGAAACUAAUCAUGCCUAUUUGAUUAAUGUAAACUCUAUAUAUAUACAGAGUAUUAUGAUGAAUAAAAAAAUAAACUUCCACCUAAUAUUAUAUCUGUCUCCUUCUUGUAUUUUUUUUUUUUUUUAAAAUGAGAAUGAAUCUCAACGAAUAUGAAUCAGCAAUUCACCGUGAUAAUUCUUUCAUUCAAGAAAGCUUAUUAUCUAACCGUCGGACAUGCAAGAUGAUCGAGGAAAUUUAGACAAUAAAACUUUAAUGUCCGAAAAGAAAACCGGUCUUCUUCCAAGAAUCCUGAAAAUAAAACAAAGGAAACAAGAAGAAUAUAAGUCGAUAUAUAUAACAUAUUAUAUCAAAAUAUUCUCACAAUCAUGAUAACUUAUAAUUGAGACAAUUAAGCUCUCAAUUAAGGCACAAUUAAUAAAAUAUUAAUGUCCUUAAUUUAAACACAAUUAACGCCCUCAAUUAGGGCACAAUUAACGCCUUCAAUUAAGAGGCACAAAUUAAGCCCUCAAUUAAGAGGCACAAUUAACGCCUAAUUACGAAGCACAAUAAACGCCUUCCUUCUUGAAAUCGGAUUCCCUACCGAUCCCGGAACCGCCGUCGCUGCUACUCUCGGCCAUCACCUCUGUGCUAUCUCUCUCGCACACGACCGCUUUGAUCAAAAUUGAGUAAGAUGUAUAGCAUGCCAUCAAUCCUAUCAUCCGAUCUUGCUUUUAUCCGGAAUUACGAAACAAAUAUAAUCUUCAUGAAAUUUAUGAAUUAGAUAGAGAUUUCAACGACACAUGUGAUAAUAUGAGAGAGAGAAAGAGAUUGCGAUGUCACUCAUUCAUACACACACAAGGUUUCGUAGUCUGUACACGAACAUUAGGCUACAAAAUACAAGUAGGGCAUGUAAACAAACAAGAAGAAAAAGACAGAAUCUUCCCUUGUUAUGAUCGACGCAGGCGCAACCUCGAGUGCGUAAACUUUAACCGCCGUCUUGACCAAGCCGUUUCCCCUCCCUCUUACAACUCCGACCCCGACAAUCCCGGCCGGCGUCAUCGAUCCUCUGGGCAGGCUGUUAUUUGCUGAUUUGUAAUCAUCAUCGUGAAACCCGAAACAUAAAGAAACAGAGAAUAUGGAGUAAGCUGCACGACUAGGAGGAACCAGUUUCUUCCCUUUUGCGUGUUUUCGGAUGUAGCCAGAUGUAUUUUAAAAAUCAACAAAACUUUCAAAUAACGAACGACACUCAAAGCAGCUUCCCAAUGUUCUUGUCUCGGUGCCUUUAAAAAUUGUGACAAUACAUGAACCGAGUAUGCCGAAUCUGGACGCUUAACUGUAAGUAAAUCAAUCUACCUGCCAAAGGACGAUAAAUUUCCCGAUUAGACAAAUGAUCUCCUGAAGCGUGAGCAAGCCGGUGGUUUUGCUCAAUAAGAAAAGUUGCAGGCUUAGCACCGCGAAGACUGGCUUCAGAUAUGAUAUCAAGAAAAUAUUUUUGUUAGCAAAGAAAUUACCAUUAGGAUUGCGUGCCACUUUGAUUCCGAAAAAAUUAUUUAAUUUAACACGAGAGUACAAACAAGCUGUUCUGUCCGUCUUUGUACAUCUUAUCAUUUUCAAGACUCUACGGUGAGCUUGCUGAUAGCUCUUGCGUCGGCAUUUCUGCAGACGACAAGAACAACGAUGCAACAGUUCAACUGGCUCGACUUCUCACUAUUCCUAGAUAAAAACACAAAGACAACAAGAACAAUGCAGCGGUUGGCAGGAAAGAUCCUUUCAUGCAUUUUAUGAGAAAACAAGAUUGCAUAGAAGAACAUAGGCGUACUGAUAAUGCAGUAGUAGCACACGUAAUAUGGGCAAAAAGCAUUAGGCAAAAUAAUAAAGCUGGUUGGUUGCAGGAAGUUCAGAACUAGAAAAAAAUGUGCCAGAGAGGCAGAGAGAAACUUUUGAGGGUGAGAGGGUGAUCCCGGAAACUUUAAAUUGGCAGAUGUGAGAAUCAUUAUAGAGAAGAUGAUCGUGAUGUUGAAGGUGCUUCUCCACGAAGCAGCUCGUAUACUGUGGCUUCAGUUUGUGCUUCUUUCUCUGAUUCGACCUCAUGGCCUUGAGAUACUGUCUCCCAACAAAAAAGUUGGAAUAUGAUUUUUAGUGUGUUUGUGAAGAAUGCCAGUUGCCUCCAAGAGAAGUUUUCUGGAUUCUGUCAUGAUCAUUUCCAUGCUGAUAAAGAGGUAUUAAUGUACUUGCAAAAAGAAAGGAGGUAUCAAUAUAAUAUACUCUGUAUCUAGGCAAAACUUUAUAUAACUAUGGACAAAAUCUUACAAAUAGCAAAAUUUCAGAUGAAAAUUGGAGGAAAGAAAACAGAAACGUUUACAUUUGGACAAUAGAACCAAAAUUGAUCCAGGCCCCAGGGUAUGGAAUUUAACCAACAGAACUAUAUACAAGAUGCAACACGCAAAACCUAUCAGUCAAACUGUGUCUCAACGCCAUCAAUUUAUAUAUCAACAUUAUACAGAAUAUAUAUAAUAUGAAACUCCCACUGAACAUCAUUUACAUAAAUUUAUGGUCUAAACUGAGUAAUCAUUCAUUUAUGACAAAAUAAAGACUCAAAAUAGGCAACUGCAAGUUUCUGCCAGCAACAAAUGUUCAUGCAGCUUCCGGCGCAUCACAUGGAUCGUUAGGUCCCUCAUUUUGAAUUGAAACACAUACUAAAACUAAUCUCCACAAAAAAAGCAAAUAAUGUAUACUGAUUACAGGAAUGAGAAGGAAAUAUAGUUCAAGCAACAUGAUUUCUCUUGUUGUCUGUCUUUGUUCAAAAGCAAGAGUUUCCUCUGAAAAACUAGAAUUAGCUUACAACUGCUCACUACAUUCAUAGAUAUUUGGUAAAGAGAUUUUGCUUAACGGAGGAGAAAAUUGUCAUCAACAAAUAUAUUUUUAUCUUGAAAGAACCACAAUCUGCCCCUGCCUAGUUAAGACCACUUCUACAUCAUACAAACAAGUUGAAAACUGCCCUCCAGUCUGAACAUAAUGCUGUUCGUAGAUAGAUUGUCAUGGCUUGUGUAGCUUGAAACCAAACACUCUCUGGACAUAGCUUUGAUUUGCUUUUUGUGGCUUGAGGUGCCCGUAGGUCAUCAGAAACAGAUGAGGAAACGUGGUUCCAAAGUAUGCCCCAUCAAUAU